rnacentral:rRNA from 1 species
GUAGGGUGCAAGCGUUACCCGGAUUUACUGGGGGGCGUAAAGGGGUUCGUAGGCGUUUUGGGUAAGUUGCUCUUCAAAUAUCGGGGCUCAACCUCGAGUAGGGGAGCAAUACUGCUAGAAUUGAGAAACUUCGGGGCUACUGGAACUGUCGGUGUAGUGGUGAAAUACGUUGAUAUCGACAGGAACUCCAAGGGCGAAGGCAGGUAGCUAGAAGUAUUCUGACGCUGAGGGACGAAAGCUAGGGGAGCGAAAGGGAUUAGAGACCCCUGUAGUCCUAGCCGUAAACGAUGCUCGCUAGCUCGUCGGACUUAAGUUUGACGGGCGUAAGCUAACGCGUGAAGCGAGCCGCCUGGGGAGUACGAACGCAAGUUUA